rnacentral:lncRNA from 1 species
UUGGAGUUGCUUCUGCUCAUGCAUGCCACAGUUUCCAUUAGAUUGAAUAGUUCUAAGUACAAAGGGCUUUUUUGGUGUGAUUCUGUUUAGAGUGCACAAGUUCUAAACAGUGUUUAGCAAUUAUUUCUUGGAUAUACUAAAGGCUGAGAUCUUUGUUAAGAAAAAGGAUACGUACGCUCAACCUCUGUGAAAUGUGAUUCUGUAAUAUUAUUCUUUCAAAGGUUGUAUUCGAGAAGCAGCAGCAAGCUGGCCUAGAAAAUUUUCUGUUAUGUGAUUUUGUACUUACCAUAUAUGUUCCUCCAAGUUGAUAAACUGCCUUCAGGAAUCGAUCAUGGAGCUCUGCUGACCAUUUUAAUCUAGGCUUUUUGUCUUUUUGGAGAUUCUGCCCAUUUUCCUUGGCUUUUGCCUCCAUUCCGAGCGCUUCUCGGUUUUUUGCAGUCACAAGUGGAACAACUGAAAUUGGGAUCUUCUUCCCAUAUUCAUGGUAAAAAGCUUAAUAUCGAAACAUUCACUCACAGGUUUGACUUACAAAGAAUCUCUCUUAAAUUGAUGAGCUUUUGUCAUUCACGUACCAAUAUUGGUUAGGGCAUGAAUUGAUCAACACCAAAAUUUCUCUUUUCGCUUCUUAAUUUACUACCCCUCUCAUAACGAAAAGUAAAGGAAGCUUUUUCUGCACUCAAUUCUUCCGUUUUUGGUUUAGUUGUAUUUUCCUUGUAAUCCUCCAUUUUUAUAUAACAUUUCUAUAAAGCUUUCCACCAGCGUCCAAUGUUCACCAAGAAUAAACUUUCUUGCUUUCCUUUACAAUUAUUCCUGCCUUUUUUUAUUUAACUUUUUUGGUACACAUCUCCUUUAGGUUGAUGAAUCUAAACCAUAGCUGUUUCUCGAUGGACAAAAAGUAUGAGUAUUACUCAAAAGUUUGGCCUAUAUUUGGCACUAGAAAAUGUUAGAUCUGAUCCUAAAAAAUUGACAAAAGAAAUUUUGGAAAUCUCAAAAAAGACAAAUAACAAAGCAAAAGCAAAUAAAACAGAAACACAAGAAUUUACGUGGUUCGAUUGACAAAAGAAUUUUUAAAUCCCAAAAAAGACAAAUAACAAAACAAAAUUAGUAAAAUAGGAACACAGAAAUUUACGUAACAAACUAAAAAUAAGAAAAAUAGGAACACAGAAAUUUAUAUAAUUCAGUCAAAUUGACCUACAUCCACCGGGGGGAGGAGGAGCAAAAUUUCACUAUGAAAAAGAGAGUACAAAAUGCCUUAGAAAAGUAUUUUUAGAUCCAAAAUAUGUAAUACUUGAAAUACAAGAGAGUCCAAAAAUAUUUUAUUAAACAAAAGGUUUAAUGACCCAAAAACUCAAAUAACCUGCUAAAUCUCUCUUGAUUUGGUAUCCUUGAUUCUAUCACAAGCCCACUAUAUUUAUAGACAAUUAAGGAAAAAACUCCCUUAUACAAAAGGCGAUGUGGGACAAGUCACUUUAACAAAUUUUCACCUUGGUGUAUCCCAAAUAUCAACAAUAACAAAUCUGAUUUACCUUCUCCACAUAUACCUUAAUGGGUCUAAAUCACCAACAACAAAUAUCAAUCAAGUCCUAGCAUUGCUUGAACUUGUAAACUAAAAGAGGUUUUGUGAACAUGUCAGUAGGAUUUUCCUUGGUACUGAUUUUUUGAACAAUGACUUUUCCUCAUCAAUAAUAUCUCAAAUGGAAAUUUUACAUCAAUGUGUUUUGUCCUCUCAUGAUACAUCUGAUCUUUAGUCAAAUGAAUGGCACUUUUACUAUCACAGUAAAUAGUAGUAACACCUUGAUGCAGAAUGAGCUUGCCAAACAAACUCUUCAACCACAAGACUUCUUUGAUUGCCUCGAUCACAGCCAUAUAUUCAGUCUACGUACUAGAUAAAGUUGUAAUAGGUUGUAAAGUAACUUUUCAACUAAUUGCAUAACCACAAAUGUAGAAUAUCUAAUCUGAAAGUAUUCUUCUCCUGUCAAGAUCUCCUGCAUAAUCAGAAUCUACAAAACCAACCACAAUGUUAUUAUUUCUCCCAAUCUCUAAACAACAAUUUGAAGUCCUUCGCAAGUAUUUGAGAAUUCACUUCAUAGCCUGUCAAUGUACUUUUUCAAGACAAGACCUAUAUCUGCUAAUCACACUAACUGCUUAUACGAUAUUUGGACGAGUACAAACCAUUGCAUACAUAAUACUACCGACUGCAUUGGAAUAGGAAACUUGUACCAUAAACUCUUCUUCUUCAAUUGAUUGUAGUGACUGAGCAGCAGACAGUCGAAAAUAACUAAUAAAAAGAGUAGUCACAGGUUUAGCAUUUUUCAUGCCAAAUUUCUCCAAAACUUUCUCAAGAUAAUUUUUUUUGGUCUAGAAUAACUUUUCAACUCCUCGAUCUAUCUUGAUUUCCAUGUCAAGAAUUUUUUUUAAUUGCUUCCAAAUGCUUCAUUUUAAAUUUACUACUUAACUGCAAUUUUAAAAUGUGAAUUUCUGACAAAUUCUUAGCAGCAAUGAGUAUGUGAUCAACAUAAAAUAGCAAAUAAAUGAAAGAACCAUCUUCUAACUUUCGAAAGUAAACACAACUAUCAUACAUAUUUCAUAAAUAAUCAUGACCCAACAUAAAGGUAUUAAAUCUCUUAUACUACUAUUUUGGAAAUUGUUUCAAUCCAUAUAAGAAUUUUUUCAAUAAAUAACUAUGGUAUUCCUUUCCUUUAAUUUCAAAUCCUUAAGGUUGUUUCAUAUAAAUUUUCUCUUCAAUUCAUCAUGCAAAAAAUCUAUCUUAAUAUCAAGUUGCUCAAAUUCCAAAUCGUACAUGGCAACUAAAACAAACAAAAACAUGAAUAGAGUUAUGCUUAACAACAGAUGAAAAUACUUCAUUAAAAUCAAUGCGUUGUACCUGACUAUAGUCCUUUGCAACCAACUGUGCUUUAUACCUUACAUCUUCAAUUUCUGGAAUACCUUUUUUCUUCUUGAAGACCCAUUUGUAUUCAACAAUUUUCUUAUCAGAAUGCGACUUUACAAGAAUCCAAGUUUCAUUUUGAUGGAGGGAUUUAAUUUCUUCAUUCAUCGCAAUCAAUCAUUUAGUAGCAUCAUCACAAGAAACUGUCUCUAAUUAGGUAGUGGGCUCACCAACUCUAUCAGUUACAUCGCAAUCAAUCAUUUAGUAGCAUUAUCACAAGAAACUGUCUUUGAUUAGGUAGUGGGCUCACCAACUCCAUCAGUUUCUUCUGCAACAGACAAAGUAUAUGCAACCAAAUUUACAUAUUUUUGUAGUGGUUGAAUAUCCUUUCUUGGUCUAUCUUUGGCAACGAAAUAUUCUUACUCUUCUGAAUUAUUUUCAUCAGUAGAUUUAGAUGCAUCUACUGGCACUUAUUGAAUAGAAGGACUAAAACUAUCAAUCUCAAACUCCAUCUACUUCUAUAUACUAUCAUCUGUAUAACAAGAAUUAGAAAAUUUCUUCUUGAAAGAUAAUAUAGAAAAUUCAUUAAAAGUGACAUCUUUACUGUUUAUAAAUUUUAAAAAUUUGGAAUUAGGACAUCAUAAUCUGUACUCUUUCACCCUAAAAGUAUAUCCAAGAAAAAUAACUUUCUUAGUUUGGGGUUCUAAUUUUUCAUCAUUUACAUGCAUGUAUACUAAACCUCCAAAAUUUUUAAAUUAGAAUAAUCACCUGGAGUACCUGACCAAAAUUUCUCAGGAGUUUUGAAAUCAAGAACUGUAGAAGAAGUACGGUUGACAAUAGAAUAAGCCAUAGAGAUCGUCUCUGCCCAAAAGUUCUUUGUCAAUCCUGCAUUAGAGAUCAUACACCUUGCUCUUUCUAAAAAGUAUUCUGUUCAUACGUUCGGUUAUGCUAUUUUGUUGAGACGUCGUCCUGACAGUGCGAUGUCGAACAAUUCUUUCAUUCUUACAAAUUCAUCAAAUUUUUUUCACAAAAUUUCAUAUCUUAUCUGUUCUAAGCCGUUUGAUCUUUCUACUUAUCUGUUUCUCAGUCAAAACUUUCCAUUACAUGAAAAUGAUGUAAACAUUAUUCUUGUAUUUAAGAAAAUAAAUUCAAACUUUUCUUGAAUAAUCAUCAAUGAAAGUUAACAUAUACCUAACACCACCCUUAGACAGAACACGAGAUGGAUUCCAUAAAUCUGAAUGAAUAUAAUUAAGAGUACCUUUCGUCUUAUGAAUUUCUGGUGAAGUAAAGCUAACUCUUUUCUACUUCCUAAAAAUACAGUGUUCACAGAAUUUCAAUGACCCAGUAUUUUGAUAGCAAAGAAGUCUUCUUUUGCUUAGUAUGCCCAAAAUCUUUCUCGCUCAUAUGUCCCAAAUGCAUAUACUAUAAUUUGGUGAUGUCAGAAUCAGAUAAAGAUGAUAAUGACGAAACUGCAACUGAACCUGUGACAGUAAAUCCCUGCAAAGCAUAUAAACUAUCAAACCUAUAAGCUUUCAUUACAACAAGAGUAUCUUUAGAAACCUUCAUAACACUCUUUUCAGCUGUGUAUUUGCAUCAAAGAGCCUUUAGAAUGCCCAAAAAGAUGAAUUUUUUUUUCAAAUCAGGAACAUGUCUAACAUUAGUGAGCGUCCUCAUAAUACCAUCAUGCAUUUUAAUUUAAACUGUACCCUUAUCAAUAACAUUACAAAUGACAUUAUUACGUAUCAAAACAAUUCUACCAUUACAAGAUUCAUAAGUGAAAAAUAAAUUAUUAUUGGGACACAUGUGAUAAGAGGACAUUGAAUCUAAAAUCCAUUCAUUUUUAGACCUUUUUCUGUCAUCAAUCACAAAGAAAAUAUUUCUUUCAUUCUUAUCAGUUGUAACACGAGUUUCGACAGUUUCAAUAUUUUUCUCACCAGAUUUUCCGUUUUGCUUUAAUCUUUUCAAUUUAAAGCAAUUUACUUUAAUGUACCAUAUUUUGUGAUAAUAAUUACACUUCAAAUUUCUCUGUUUGGAUUUAGAUAUAGAUUUUGAUCUACUAUUAUCAAAUUUUCUUUUAUCGAUUUUAUCCCUUGCAAUCAGACCUUUCCCUUGACUUCCAUUAAUUUCUCCGAUAAUAUUUCUAUCUAUCUACUGCUUAGAUUUUAAUGCAGAUUUAAUUUCUCGAUACGAAAUUCUUUCUUUUCCAUAAUCAUGGUAUCGCGAAAAUAUUUAAAGGAGCGGGGAAGGGAAUACAAAAGUAACAGGGCCUGAUUCUCAUCAAAUAUAUAUUCUCCUAAUUUUCAAAUAUAUACUCUCCAAAUUCAUAAUAAUGAAAUCAAAUUUAUCAAGAUGUGAGAAUAUAGAUGUACUUUCAGUCAUAUGAAACAUAUACAGAUUUUAUUUUAAAUAAAAUCGAUUCUCAACUAUUUUCUUCAUGAACAAGGCUUUAACUUUGUCUCACAUGAUAUUUGUCGAAAUCUCAGUAACCACCUCCUACAAAAUCUCGUCAGAGAGAUUUAAAAUAAUAUUGAAUUUCACCUUCUUAUCCAUCUUAGCAAAAUUUUCAUCUAUCACACUCUCUAACUUUUUCAAUUUCCUGUAUCACUAGAUCAACUCCGUCUUGAAUUAAAAUAACCUCCAUCUUGAGCUGCCAUGCAACAGUCCCACCUCCAUCUAGGAUGUACCCUAAAAGUUAGAGGAUCGUCUGCCUGAUUCUCUCCAGAACUCAUUAAUUUCAUAGUAACUUCAGAGAUAACAUUGUGGUAUACUAAAACCACACGUUCAAAUCUUUUACAAUGCCAAGUUUAAUACAAAACUUCAACCGUGAUAAGAUACUAGAUAAUUUACAAUCACAAAAGACUUCAUGUUAACUCCCUAAACUCUCUCAUUCAUUUCUCGACUACCAACUUCUGUAAGGAAAACAAACUACAAGGUUGAGCUAAAAUUCAGUGAGAUUUGCCGAACAAGUAACAUUUAAUAAACACUUAAAUUAGUACAAUUAAGUAAGUAGUGCACAUUUCACUGUAUAAUCACUUUAAAAAGGAUACAAACUCCUCCUGGGAGUCAUUUCAAUAUCACUGUACAUUCAUUUCAGUGUCGCGAUACAUUCAUUUCAAUAUCAUUGCACACUCUGCCAAUUCACCCCGUUAUGUCCUCCAAAAUAAUAAACAAUCCCCUACAUUCAAUAAUCAGUGCAAUAAUCUCUCAACUUCAGGGUAAUGCUCGAGUAUACCGAAACAGUUACCCAAAUCUUCCGUCCUAUCCGACCAAGCCCUUUGCUGGCUCGAAAAGUCCGUUGAACAAAGGGUUUUGGGGUCCAAUUCAACUGAUGUGGUAAAGUACACAUACGGCUUACAUUCAUGAACACUUACAGUAAUAUUUGGUUAAUUAUCAACCUUCAAACUCAACUAAGUCGAGUGCGAUAAAGUACACCCUCGACUUAGAAGGUGAGAGACAAUUGAGAUACACUUUACAAUGAAUCACUAGCAAUAUUCCAUAAUAAGCACAUUUAUCGCAUAAUUUCACUUAAAUAAACAUAAACAGUUAAACACACAACUUCGGAAACACUCACCAAAUACCCAAAUAGAUUACUCUCGAGUCUCGGGUUUGUUUCCUGACUCACAGCUCCUUCCUGAGACAAGUUCAUAAUUUCAAAGUAAAUAUAUAAUUUGUAGAUAUUCAUCUAUUGUUUAUUAUCCUAUUAUUUAAAUUAUUAGAAUCAAGUUUGACUUUAAAAUAUAAAAUAUAAUAUAUUCAAUAUUUAUUAUACAUUUCAUUUCGAGACUUAUUGAUUUUAUCAUUUUAAAUCAAGAAAUAUACGUAUUUUUCAAGUUUAUAAUUUAUAAAAUAUUUAAAUUAGGAUUAAACUAUUUUCCACCCAAGAUUCUAAAAUUAAAGCUUAGGAAUACUCCAUUGGUUCCCUUUUAAAUUAACUAAACUCUAGGUUGUUUGUAAAUUAAAUUUUGUUUCACGAUACCAGCCCCUCUUAGGUUCUAAGGUCUUUAAAAUGUUCUUUAAAACAAGAUUAAAUGAUUAGCAACCGUCUUAUGUAUCUAAUUGUAAUAAGUUGCCUUAAGGUUUCCAAAAUAUUAUAGGAGUUCACUUCAUUACUAUGUUAGCUGUUAAAUCAAGUUCUAGCAAUAUAGUUCAUAAUUUUCAUCAAUAUUUCAUCUCCUACUUGGUAAAAUAUUAAUCACUCAGUAUUUAUCCCGUCCCAGCUGAAGUUGAAUCAAAUAACGUGUAGUAUUUACGCAUAAACCCAACAAAACAACAAUAAGUUCCAUUUUUAGAUAAUGUAACUUCCUAGCAAUAUACACAGUCCAGCAUUCAUUGUUUCCCUUAAAUCCUUCAUUUCAAUCUCAUGUCCCAACUAGACAAGUUAAUUACAUUUAUUAAGUUACAAAGUAGCCUUAUACAGAACGUGGAAAGUUUUGCAGCUAACUUAGAGGAAAAGACUGAUCAACUCUUCCUUCUUUCUCUCGGCCAUAAGGUAAUUCAGCAGCACAUUUCAUAGUUUUCCUCUCAUUUGCCUUAGUUUAACUCUACUCACGGAACUAGUCAUAGUCACUGAAUCACAGAGCAACCUUAGUUCUACCUGUGGAAGUUCACAGAGCCAGAAAUUAGAAGAAAGGCUGCUCUAAAAGCUUAUUUCCUUCCCCUUUUUUUUUAUCAUAGCAGAUUGUACCAGCUUCUUUUUAUCAAGUUUUAGUUAAGCUUCCUGAAGUUUUUAGAUUUCCAAGGCACCUAUCUUUUAAGGUAAAGAAUUAACAUGUCUUCCAUGUAUUCAUUAGUAAGGGUUUCAGAAUCAAUAACAACAGGUAAUGUAACUUGCUUAAUUCCCUCAGACAACUAACCUGCAAUCAGUCGAAUGCACUUGUCCUACUAUGUUCACUUUAGUUUCUACUUGUUUUGGUCUUGCUUGUUGAAGUUUACGGUCUGCAUGACAUUUUACACUUACUACACAGGUUUAGGAGCUAAAGUUUAUAGAGGACAACCAAAGUGUCCUUCUUUUCUCUUUCGGUUGCAGUCACUAAAUUUCCAGCAAAAUCGUAGUCUAUCAGUUGACAUUUUCUUACCUUUUCCUCCUCAGUUUUUGGUCUCAAUCACUCAUGCAGAAGAUACUUAAUUUGCUGCAGGUUAUCCUAAGCUAAACAGGGCAGUUCCUGACCAGAAUUCAGAGAAAAAUUGAAUAAAAUUACAAGGCUGCGCAAAACUGCUAAAUCUGGUGCAUAGCAGCUUGCACCAUAUUACUUUCAUGCCCAUAGUUUCAAUUCUUACAAGCUCCUACGGCUAAUCCUUUUUUUAUUACUUAAAGUGGACGUAAUUCAUGCAUUCCUAGCUGUAGUUUCCAUUUUUUUUUUCUGAUAACUAGUCACACAAUUAGUACCUAUUUCACGGUUAGAAGUCAGAACUUCCUCUCAGCAGACUAUCAUUUCUAAACAAAAUUUCUCCUGCAACAAAACUUAGUUUUUUUUGGUUAGAUUCCAGCACACACAACAUUCAAAUUCAAAUAUACCAGAUGAUUAAAAAGUUAUAUACAAAUUUUUCAUCAUUGAUGAACUAAAAUCCAAACAUCAAUUUUCAGUUUCUUCCAAAUCUGUCCAACAGUUUUAUCUUCUUCAAACAGAAUUUCACCUUAGCUAAGAGUCCAUUUCUUUACUAAAUUCUCGUGCAGCUAGCAUAUUAAUCUAUUUAUACGGAAUGGACAGAAGAUUAUUGCAAGUUCUUACCUUUUCUCCUAAAGUUUGAUAUCGCAGUCUGUUCAAAAUUUCUGGUCCUGAUUCCUUAAGUCUUAACUCUAAUUCCUCCUGCUUCCUUGCGACACCUUCCUUAUCUUUGGUUGUUUGGUGAUGAAGCUAGCUAUGCUCCUGCUCUUACUUUCUCUGUUUCGCUCUCUUUUCCCACUCCCUCUAUUUUCUCUCGAUGUUAGCUUGGUAAGGAGAGGAGCUGAAAUUUUGUUUUACUCUCUGCCACCGUCCAAGUUUUUGCAGUUGGUUUUCUCUUUUUCCCCACUGGGUCACCGUUUGGAUUCGGCAAGCUCUUGGCAGCUGUUUCUCUUCAAUUUUGUCUUUGUUUAAAAGGCUUAAAGAUCAGAUGAAACAAAUAUUAUUCGGUGGUAAAAUUUUUCAUUCAGUGCUCACCCUUCAAAGCUGCUAUAUUCGGUGACUCACUCUCCAAAGCCUUCAUCCACUCGGUUUCAUGUUUGAAAAUUCUGAUGAUUUGCUUGGCUGCAUGGUUGUUUAUCCUAAAUUCAAGGUUAAUUUGGUCUUUCAAUUCUAGCUCAUUUGCUUGCUAAUGGUCCGUAAUAUCUUUUUCCUAAAAUUUCAAUUUUAUAGGAAUCCAAUCAUACAUUUAAUUUAACCAUUUAUUUAUUAUAUAUAAUGUUUCUAAUAACAAAUUAAAUGUAAUGGGAUAAAUUCGAAGUGUACACAUAAAUUUCCGAGUUCUCACAUCUUUUCCCCCUUAAGAAAAUUUCGUCCUCGAAAUUUCGUACUUUUAAUCGUAAAAAGUUUCGAGUAUUCUUUCUGUAUUUUAUCUUCCAUUUCCUCAGGUUGCUUCCUCCAAUCCUUGUUGUUUCCAUAGAACUCUGACUAAAGGAAUCUAUUUAUUCUUUAAUUCCUGUCUCUAAAAUAACAUGCCCCAGAAAUGAUAUUUUCUCCAUUCAAAAUUCAUACUUACUAAAUUUUAUACAAUUGACGCUUCCUUAAAGUCGAUAACACUAUCCUUAGAUUCUAUUCAUGAUCUUCCUUCUUAAUUCUUCAUUGAUAGUAUCCUUGCCAAAGAUCUAUCUUAGAAAAUAUUAUUGCCCCUUGCAACAAUUAUAACAUCAUUAUAAGCUCAACUUGCAAUCUCUAUCUUUUUUUUUCUCCAAUCUUAAUCUCAUAGUUUCUAUACACCAUUUGGUUAUCAAACUUUGAUCACUAGUGGGGUUUUAACUUCUAAUUCAUAAGGUAGUUUGUUAAACUUCAUACCAAUUCUAUUUAUAAAAUCAACAAUUACAAAUGAAUGCAUCGCACCAGGGUUAAUCAAAAUCUUAGCUAAGCGAUUGAAGACAGGGAUGGUACAUUCUACCACCUCAGUUGUCUCUGGCACUUGCUAUUGGUCUAAAGCAUAUACUCUAGCUGGCACUCUUUAUCGAUUUCUUCUAUCGUUAGUCUGUCGAGGUGCAGGUGGUAGGGUGUUAAUACUUCGUGGUAUCCUAGUUGGGCAACUACCAAUUAGGUGUUCUGAACUUCCGCAAAAUAAGCAUUUUCAUCCCUUCACCCAACAAUUUUCCUCAGAAUGAUUCUCUUUUCCACAGUAUCCACAUGCUGUUUGGGAGCUCGGCACUUGCACUCCUCUAAAAUGCCUUUCUUGUUGUCCUUUUUUGGCUUGAGCUUCGCUGACUGAGGUUCUAGGUGAUUGGUUUUGAACUCCGAGCGAAAAUCUUACUCCGCCAAUUCCUCUUCCUGCUUUGGGCUCCAUGACAUCUCCUCGCGGUUGCCCUGAAGUAACGCCAGGGGCAUUUCUUUUCCUAGUUUGGAAAGUCUUUAGUUGGGAUUUCGCAUUCUCAAUUCUCUGGGCCUUGUCAAGAGCCCCAAGGAAGGUAUCCAGGGUAACUGGCGCCAGGGAUUCCUGAAUCUCCAUAUUUAAUCCUUGAACAAAACGCCUCACUCUCUUUUGUUCGAUGGGUUCUAAUUCGGGAAAAAAUUUAGACAAUUUUGUGAACUGGAUUUCGUAGUCAGCAGCACUGGAGGUCCCUUGCCGAAAUCUAAUGAAUUCAUUCUCCCUUUUCUCUCGAACCAAAGGAGGAAUAUAUUUUUCUUUAAACUCGUAGACAAAGUUAGUCCAAGUCCAUGGGAUUUGCUCUCUUUCCCAUUUAGUUUAUCUAUGUUCCAUCAUGAACGUGCCGCCCCCUCAAAUUGGAAUACGGAAAAGGUAACCUGUCUAUCCUCAGGGUAACCAAUUCUCUACUAUUUCAGGGUUUGGUCCUCCAGUAAACUUAGGUGAAGUAAACUUUUGGAACCUUUCUAAUGCCUUAUCUUCCCCACUUCAGAGUCCUUAUGUUGAUGUGUAUGUCCGACUCCGGAACCGGAUUGAUUAACUACUCUUUCUAAUAAAUCGAUCAUCCUAUUUAGGGCCAUAGUCACUUGAUCGUUUCUAUUGACUUCUUAUUCUUGGCUCUGAUCCGCCGCGGAGUCGCAUUCUCCAUCUAGGUUUUCAGAUUGUCUAACCCUACGAGGUCGCCCACGUCGUCGUCCCUCACUCUCCAUUCUCCACCUAAGUAUGCUAUGUAUUUAGAAAUCAUGAAUAAAUUGGACUUAUCCCUAUACUUACAUAAAUAUUUAGUAGUAUUUAAUUUUAGAAAUCAAAAUGCAUUCAGCACAUAAAUUCACACUUAGUUUAUAGGCCAACCAUUAUAAAACAACAAUUAAAGUCAAGUACAAUACAAGUAAUUCAAAUAUACAUAAAAGUAAACAGUUUAACAGUAUAGUGCAUGUAGCAUAUCAAACAUGGAUAGCUCAACCCUUAGUUUUUAAGUUAACUAGAACUCCAUUAGUCUAAUUUAAGACAGUCCCAGUCGAUCCCUAAUUUACCUGAACACUCGGGUAAGGCAUCCUUUUACUUCCUGCAGUUGCUGCCUCUUCACCUCUAACUCUCAAAAGUUAUCCUCGAUCUCUCCGAUUCUACUUCUCCAAUUUUAUUCAUGAUUUCUAUUCAGAUCAUAAUGCAAUACAUUAAAUCCUGCCAAAUUUGCAAAUACACCAACGAAUAAAAUAUUUAAUACUCGGAUACAAGAAUCCAAAAAUAUGAUAUUUCAUAACUCAAGUCGGCCGGUCUCAAGAGUAAAUCAUCCACAUUUGAGAUUUUUACCCGACGUACAUAUCUAAUUUUUCCUCAAUAAUGAUAGUUCAUGUCACACUUAACAUGCCACUCCCCACAAUCCAAGAACCCUCUCCUGGUGUGAGCUCAUUAAGAGUUCUGAUACCACAUGUGACGGUCCCACCUCCUUUUAGGGUGUACCCUAAAAGUUAGCAGAUCGUCUGCUUGACUCUUGCCAUGACUCAUUAAUUUCGCAUUAACUUCAAAGAUAACAUUGUGGUAUACUAAAACCACACGUUCAAAUCUUUUACAAUGCCAAGUUUAAUACAAAACUUCAACCGUGAUAGGAUACUAGAUAAUUUACAAUCACAAAAGACUUCAUGUUAACUCCCUAAACUCUCUCAUUCGUUUCUCGACUACCAACUUCUGUAAAAAAAAUAAACUACAAGGUUGAGCUAAAACUCAGUGAGAUUUGCCGAACAAGUAACAUUCAAUAAACACUUAAAUCAGUACAAUUAAGUAAGUAGUGCAUAUUUCACUGUAUAAUCACUUUAAAAAGGAUACAAACUCCUCCUGGGAGUCAUUUCAAUAUCACUGUACAUUCAUUUCAGUGUCGCGAUACAUUUAUUUCAAUAUCAUUGCACACUUCGCCAAUUCACCCCCUUAUGUCCUCCAAAACAAUAAACAAUCUCCCAUAUACAAUAAUCAGUGCAAUAAUCUCUCAACUUCAGGGUAAUACUCGAGUAUACCGAAACAGUUACCCAAAUCGUCCGUCCUAUCCGACCAAACCCUUUGCUGGCUCGAAUAGUCCGUUGAACAGAGAGUUUUGGGGUCCAGUUCAGUCGAUGUGGUAAAGUACACAUACAGCUUACAUUCAUGCACACUUACAGUAAUAUUUGGUCAAUUAUCAACCUUCAAACUCAAAUAAGCCGAGGGCCUAAAAAUUACACCCCCGACUUAGAAGGCGAGAGAUAAUUGGGAUACACUUUACAAUGAAUCACUAGCAAUAUUUCAUAAUAAGCACAUUUAUCGCAUAAUUUCACUUACAUAUAUAUAAGCAGUUAAAUACACAAAUUCGAAACACUCACAAAAUACCCAAAUAGAUUACUCUCGAGUCUCGAAUUUGUUUCCUGACUCACAGCUACUUCCUGAGAAAAGUUCAUAAUUCCAAAGUAAAUAUAUAAUUUAUAGAUGUUCACCUAUUAUUUAUUAUCCUAUUAUUUAAAUUAUUAGAAUCAAGUUUGUCUUUAAAAUAUAAAAUAUAAUUUAUUCAAUAUUUAUUCUACAUUUCAUUUUGAGACUUAUUGACUUUAUCAUUUUAAACCAAGAAAUAUACGUAUUUUCCAAGUUUAUAAUUUAUAAAAUAUUUAAAUUAGGAUUAAACUAUUUUCUACUCACGAUUCUAAGAUUAAAGUUUAGGAAUACUCCAUUGGUUCCCUUUUAAAUUAAUUAAACUCUAGGUUGUUUGUAAAUUAAAUUUUGUUUCACGAUACCAGCCACCCUUAGGUUCUAGGGUCUUUAAAAUGUUCUUGAAAACAAGAUUAAGUGAUUAGCAACCGUCUUAUGUAUCUAAUUGUAAUAAGUUGCCUUAAGGUUUCCAAAUAUUACAGGAGUUCACUUCAUUACUAUAUUAGCUGUUAAAUCAAGUUCUAGCAAUAUACUUCAUAAUUUUCAUCAAUAUUUCAUCUUCUACUUGGUAAAAUAUUAAUCACUCAGUAUUUACCCUGUCCCUGCUGAAGUUGAAUCAAAUAACGUGUACUAUUUACGCAUAAACCCAACAAAACAACAUUAAGUUCCAUUUUUAGAUAAAUGUAACUUCCUAGCAAUAUACAUAGUCCAGCAUUCAUUGUUUCCCUUAAAUCCUUCCUUUUAAUCUCAUGUCCCAACUAGACAAGUUAAUUACAUUUAUUAAGCUACAAAGUAGCCUUAUACAGAACGUGGAAAGUUUUGCAGCUAACUUAGAGGAAAAGACUGAUCAACUCUUCCUUCUUUCUCUCGGCCAUAAGGUAAUUCAGCAGCACAUUUCAUAGUUUUCCUCUCAUUUGCCUUAGUUUAACUCUACUCACAGAACUAGUCAUAGUCACUAAAUCACAGAGCAACCUUAGUUCUACCUGUGGAAGUUCACAGAGCCAGAAAUUAAAAGAAAGGCUGCUCUAAAAGCUUAUUUCCUUCCCCCUUUUUUUUUAUCAUAGCAGAUUGUACCAGCUUCCUUUUAUCAAAUUUUAGUUAAGCUUCCUGAAGUUUUCAUAUUUCCAAGGCACCUAUCUUUUAAGGUAAAGGAUUAACAUGUCUUCCAUGUAUUCAUUAAUAAGGAUUUCAGAAUCAGUAACAACAGGUCAUGUAACCUGCUUAAUUCCCUCAGACAACCAACCUGCAAUCAGUCGAAUGCACUUGUCCUACUAUGUUCACUUUAGUUUCUACUUGUUUUGGUCUUGCUUGUUGAAGUUUACGGUCUGCAUGACAUUUUACAUUUACUACACAGGUUUAAGAGCUAAAGUUUAUAGAGGACAACCAAAGUGUCCUUCUUUUCUCUUUCGGUUGCAGUCACUAAAUUUCCAGCAAAAUCGUAGUCUAUCAGUUGACAUUUUCUUACCUUUUCCUCCUCAAUUUUUGGUCUCAAUCACUCAUGCAGAAGAUACUUAAUUUGCUGCAGGUUAUCCUAAGCUAGACAGGGCAGUUCCUGACCAGAAUUCAGAGAAAAAUUGAAUAAAAUUACAAGGCUGCGCAAGACUGCUACAUCUGGUGCAUAGCAACCUGCACCAUAUUACUUUCAUGCCCACAGUUUCAAUUCUUUCAAGCUCUUACGGUUAAUCCUUCUUUUAUUACUUAAAGUGGACAUAAUUCAUGCAUUCCUAGCUGUAGUUUCCAUUUUUUUCUGAUAACUAGUCACACAAUUAGUACCUAUUUCACGGUUAUAAGUCAGAACUUCCUCUCAGCAAACUAUCGUUUCUAAACAAAAUUUCUCCGGCAACAAAACUUAGUUUUUCUUGGUUAGAUUCAGCAUAGACAACAUUCAAAUUCAAAUAUACCAGAUGAUUAAGAAGUUAUAUACAAAUUUUUCAUCAUUAAUGGACUAAAAUCCAAACAUCAGUUUUCAGUUUCUUCCAAAUCUGUCCAACAGUUUUAUCUCCUUCAAACAAAAUUUCACCUUAGCUAAAAGUCCAUUUCUUUACUAAAUUCUCAUGCAGCUCACAUGUUAAUCUAUUUAUACGGAAUGGACAGAAGAUUAUUGCAAGUUCUUACCUUUUCUCCUAAAGUUUGAUAUUGCAGGCUGUUGAAAUUUUUUGGUCCUGAUUCCUUAAGUCUUAACUCCAAUACCCCCUGCUUCCUUGCGACACCUUCCUUAUCUUUGGUUGUUUGGUGUUGAAGCUAGUUAUGCUCCUGCUCUCACUUUCUCUGUUUCGCUCUUUUUUCUCACUCCCUCUAUUUUUUCUCGAUGUUAGCUUGGUAAGGAGAGGAGCUGAAAUUUUGUUUUGCUCUCUGCCACCGCCCAAGUUUUUGCAGUUGGUUUUCUCUUUUUCCCCACUCGGUC